rnacentral:tRNA from 1 species
GCCUAAUGAAUCGGUAGACGUGCAUGAUUCAGGUUCAUGUCCCAGCAAUGGGGUGCAAGUUCAACUCUUGCCGCGGGCACCA